UCGAACUCCUGACCUCAGGUGAUCUGCAA
rnacentral:piRNA from 1 species